ACCAUUUUGAGCAGUACAAACAUCAGGCAAUACCUCACACCAACACACACACACACAUGUAUCAACUACCUAGGGUGUCUUUUAUCACCCCUGAGAAUGUCUUUUCUUCAAUGUACAAUGUAUCGUUGCAUCUUCUGGAUAUAUACCAUGCAUCAUCCAGAUAAAUAUGACAAUUUCUGUUUUUUAGGGUUCCACCUAAGCAACAAAGGCACCAUUCCACGCACGCGUGCGAGCGCGCACACACCAACCCACAACAACCUAUAGUGUCUUUUCAAUUUACACAACACAUCAUUGCAUCAUCCAGAUAUAUACAACCUUUUCUGUUUGGUUUAUUGUAAGGUUCCAUCAUCCAUCUCUAUAAGAAGGGAUCAGUGGUGCACUACUAAGUUAACCUAUUUGGAAUUCCAUCCUUCUUUGCUUGGGUGUUUAUUCCUGGAGAUAUGGAGGUCGACAAGGUCAAGAUGGCAAGCUUGUGCUUAAUUUUGCUCAUGUCACUCCUCUUGCUUCCUGCAGGAUCUGAAGGCCACUGCAGGCGGUUAAGCCAGACGUACCCUACUUCGCAAUGCAAGGGUGACCAAUGCACAGAGGACUGCGAACAUGAGGGUUACCCGUAUGCGGAGUGUGACACGGACCAUCAAUAUCCUGAACUUAGUUACUGCGCCUGCUUCUUUCCAUGCUGAUUCUGCCUCAAGUUGCUUCAGGAUGUGAAGCAACGUGCAAUAAGAUCUUAAGGCGAGCCGUCUGUAACAUCCAAAUAUUUCGAAAUUUGGAAUGUUGAAUAAAUUAGCCAAUCAAUAAAUAUAGUUGAUUUCCCUUGUU